rnacentral:rRNA from 1 species
CAUGCAAGUCGAACGGCAGCGCGGGAGCAAUCCUGGCGGCGAGUGGCGAACGGGUGAGUAAUACAUCGGAACGUGCCCAAUCGUGGGGGAUAACGCAGCGAAAGCUGUGCUAAUACCGCAUACGAUCUACGGAUGAAAGCAGGGGAUCGCAAGACCUUGCGCGAAUGGAGCGGCCGAUGGCAGAUUAGGUAGUUGGUGAGGUAAAGGCUCACCAAGCCUUCGAUCUGUAGCUGGUCUGAGAGGACGACCAGCCACACUGGGACUGAGACACGGCCCAGACUCCUACGGGAGGCAGCAGUGGGGAAUUUUGGACAAUGGGCGAAAGCCUGAUCCAGCCAUGCCGCGUGCAGGAUGAAGGCCUUCGGGUUGUAAACUGCUUUUGUACGGAACGAAACGGCCUUUUCUAAUAAAGAGGGCUAAUGACGGUACCGUAAGAAUAAGCACCGGCUAACUACGUGCCAGCAGCCGCGGUAAUACGUAGGGUGCAAGCGUUAAUCGGAAUUACUGGGCGUAAAGCGUGCGCAGGCGGUAAUGUAAGACAGUUGUGAAAUCCCCGGGCUCAACCUGGGAACUGCAUCUGUGACUGCAUUGCUGGAGUACGGUAGAGGGGGAUGGAAUUUCCGCGUGUAGCAGUGAAAUGCGUAGAUAUGCGGAGAACACCGAUUGGCGAAGGUAAUCCCUGGACCUGUACUGACGCUC